UACGUAGGGGGCGAGCGUUAUCCGGAUUUACUGGGUGUAAAGGGUGCGUAGGCGGUUUGUUAAGUCAGAAGUGAAAUUUAGGGGCUCAACCUCUAAGCUGCUCCUGAAACUGAUGAACUAGAGUGUGGGAGAGGAAAGUGGAAUUCCGAGUGUAGCGGUGAAAUGCGUAGAGAUUCGGAGGAACACCAGUAGCGAAGGCGGCUUUCUGGACCAUUACUGACGCUGAGGCACGAAAGCGUGGGGAGCAAACAGG
rnacentral:rRNA from 1 species